rnacentral:rRNA from 1 species
GACGAACGCUGGCGGCGUGCUUAACACAUGCAAGUCGAACGGAAAGGCCCUGCUUUUGUGGGGUGCUCGAGUGGCGAACGGGUGAGUAACACGUGAGUAACCUGCCCUUGACUUUGGGAUAACUUCAGGAAACUGGGGCUAAUACCGGAUAGGAGCUCCUGCUGCAUGGUGGGGGUUGGAAAGUUUCGGCGGUUGGGGAUGGACUCGCGGCUUAUCAGCUUGUUGGUGGGGUAGUGGCUUACCAAGGCUUUGACGGGUAGCCGGCCUGAGAGGGUGACCGGCCACAUUGGGACUGAGAUACGGUCCAGACUCCUACGGGAGGCAGCAGUGGGGAAUAUUGCACAAUGGGCGGAAGCCUGAUGCAGCAACGCCGCGUGCGGGAUGACGGCCUUCGGGUUGUAAACCGCUUUCGCCUGUGACGAAGCGUGGGUGACGGUAAUGGGUAAAGAAGCACCGGCUAACUACGUG